rnacentral:tRNA from 1 species
UCCCUAGUGGCUCAGUUGGUAAAGAAUCUGCCUGUGAUGCAGGAGACCCAGGUUCAAUCCCUGAGUGGAGAA